GAUGAACGCUGGCGGCGUGCCUAACACAUGCAAGUCGAGCGAUUUACUUCGGUAAAGAGCGGCGGACGGGUGAGUAACGCGUGGGUAACCUGCCCUGUACACACGGAUAACAUACCGGAAGGUAUGCUAAUACGAGAUAAUAUACUUUUAUCGCAUGGUAGAAGUAUCAAAGCUCUGGCGGGACAGGAUGGACCCGCGUCUGGUUAGCUAGUUGGUAAGGUAACGGCUUACCAAGGCGACGAUCAGUAGCCGACCUGAGAGGGUGAUCGGCCACAUUGGAACUGAGACACGGUCCAAACUCCUACGGGAGGCAGCAGUGGGGAAUAUUGCACAAUGGGCGAAAGCCUGAUGCAGCAACGCCGCGUGAGCGAUGAAGGCCUUCGGGUCGUAAAGCUCUGUCCUCAAGGAAGAUAAUGACGGUACUUGAGGAGGAAGCCCCGGCUAACUACGUGCCAGCAGCCGCGGUAA
rnacentral:rRNA from 1 species